rnacentral:rRNA from 1 species
UACAGAGGUCCCAAGCGUUGUUCGGAUUCACUGGGCGUAAAGGGUGCGUAGGCGGUGAGGUAAGUUUGACGUGAAAUCUCCGGGCUCAACCCGGAACUGCGUUGAAUACUAUCUCGCUAGAGGAAUGGAGGGGAGACUGGAAUAACUUGGUGUGAGCAGUGAAAUGACGUAGAUAUCAAGUGGAACACCAGUGGCGAAGGCGAGUCUCUGGACAUUUCCUGACGCUGAGGCACGAAAGCCAGGGGAGCAAACGGG